rnacentral:rRNA from 1 species
AGUGUAGGCGGCUAUUUAAGUCGGAUGUGAAAGCCCCGGGCUCAACCUGGGAAUUGCAUUCGAAACUGAAUAGCUAGAGUUUGGUAGAGGUAAGUGGAAUUCCGGGUGUAGCGGUGAAAUGCGUAGAUAUCCGGAGGAACAUCAGUGGCGAAGGCGGCUUACUGGACCAAAACUGACGCUGAGGCUCGAAAGCGUGGGGAGCAAACAGGAUUAGAUAACCUGGUAGUC